rnacentral:rRNA from 1 species
CCUACGGGAGGCAGCAGUGAGGAAUAUUGGUCAAUGGGCGGAAGCCUGAACCAGCCACGCCGCGUGCGGGAUGACGGCCCUACGGGUUGUAAACCGCUUUUGUACGGGGGUAACUCCCGACACGUGUGCCGGUCUGCAAGUACCGUACGAAUAAGGAGCGGCUAACUCCGUGCCAGCAGCCGCGGUAAUACGGAGGAGGCGAGCGUUAUCCGGAUUUAUUGGGGUUAAAGGGAGCGUAGGGGGUUCGAUAAGUCCGGUGUGAAAGCCCGGGGCUCAACCCCGCCAACGCAAUUGAUAUUGGCAGCCUAGAGUACAGGAGAGGUAGGCGGAAUGCGUGGUGUAGCGGUGAAAUGCAUAGAGAUCACGAGGAACACCGAUUGCGAAGGCAGCCUACC